rnacentral:rRNA from 1 species
AACGAACGCUGGCGGCAUGCCUAACACAUGCCAGUCGAACGAUGCCUUCGGGCAUAGUGGCGCACGGGUGAGUAACGCGUGGGAACCUGCCCUGUGGUACGGAAUAACUCCGGGAAACUGGAGCUAAUACCGUAUGUGUCCCCUGGGACAAAGAUUUAUCGCCACGGGAUGGGCCCGCGUAGGAUUAGCUUGUUGGUGGGGUAACGGCCUACCAAGGCUACGAUCCUUAGCUGGUCUGAGAGGAUGAUCAGCCACACUGGGACUGAGACACGGCCCAGACUCCUACGGGAGGCAGCAGUGGGGAAUAUUGGGCAAUGGGCGCAAGCCUGAUCCAGCAAUGCCGCGUGAGUGAUGAAGGCCUUCGGGUUGUAAAGCUCUUUCGCACGCGACGAUGAUGACGGUAGCGUGAGAAGAAGCCCCGGCUAACUUCGUG